AAGAAAAUGGACCAGCGUUCGUAUGUUAGUGAAAUCUCACAGAGAUACGAUUCCAUUGAGCAGUAUUCCUCACUAAAUAAGUUAAAUAGGUGGACCUACUUCUUCCUUCAACGCAAACUGCCUUUUCCAAAUGGCACUUGGAUGGAAACUUUCGAAUACAACCCCUUUCCUCAUCUAAUCCGCAAAUGGCACUUGUCUCAUCCACCUGUCCGCAAUUAGUUUCCAUUUGGCACGGAUUUGGAAACGCAAGACACGCUCCAAAGAAACAUGCUGUUUUUAGAAAGGGCAUCUUCAUUAAGGUACUACUAACUAAUAAAAAAGAAACUUACCCAGACAUAUUAGGAAAAUGAAAACUGCGUUCAUUGUGGAGAACUUAAACCUUACGCUAUGAAAUGAAAAAUCGCAAUGCGGCAACUAAUUAAGAUCGGCGUUACAAAAAAUAACAUAAACGGUUAGGGUUACUAUCCUAUCUUAUCACAUAUUUAAACAACAGUGAACGAAUUUUGCCAUAUUAAAAGAUAAGAUAAAACUUAAGCACCUUAAAUUGAAUUAACGUAUAAGUGUCACAAUAAUAUUUGAUAUUGAUUGAUAUUGAUCACAUCUCAAA